rnacentral:rRNA from 1 species
GAACCGUGCGAACGUUAUUCGGAAUCAUUGGGCUUAAAGGGCGCGUAGGCGGCGGUGUAAGUUGGAAGUGAAAUCCCAUCGGCUCAACCGUGGAAUUGCUCCCAGUACUGCAUCGCUCGAGGGGGAUAGGGGUUUGCGGAACUACCGGUGGAGCGGUGAAAUGUGUUGAUAUCGGUGGGAACGCCAGUGGCGAAAGCGGCAAACUUGACCCUUCCUGACGCUGAGGCGCGAAAGCUAGGGGAGCAAACGGGAUUAGAUACCCCGGUAGUCCUAGCCUUAAACGUUGGGUACUGAGUAGAAAGGGGACCGAUACCCCCUUCUGCUGGAGCGAAAGUGUUAAGUACCCCGCCUGGGGAGUAUGGUCGCAAGGCUGAA